rnacentral:tRNA from 2 species
GGCUGGAUAGUUCAGUGGCAGAAUUCUUGCUUUGGGUGUAAGAGGUCCUGGGUUCAAAUCCCAGUUCAGCCC